CCAAAUCUUCUUGAUUCGGUCCCACUGAUGGACAUUCAGGCUGCUCCCGUGCCCUGGCUGUUCUGGAUAGCGCUGCGGUGAGCUCUGUGCGGCAUGUAGUUUUGUGCAUUGGCGUUUUCAUGUUGUUUGGACAUGUGCCCAGGACUGGGGCUGCUGGGUCAUAAGGAUCUGUGUGUAUUUCACAUGGCGAGGAGACUGGAAGGAGACAGCUACGAAAGACUUCGCAUUUCUGAUAAAAGAGAGAGUUGGCCAGCCCGUCCUGUUCCUCUCCUGCCUGCCCUGGGCUAAGACGUGAUACCAUCUCACAACCAUGCCAGAGGAGCCAAGAGAAUAACGGGGCCCUGGCCUUGCCAUCAUCCUAGGGGAGCGAGAUACAAGCACCGAGUGGUGUCACUCCGGGGUCUGUCGUUUGCGGAACACAUCCUGAGCUGAGACAGAGACUAAGGUGCUCCUCUACCCCCAUCCUACAAGGGCUCUCUACGGAUCUGAAAGGACAACAGACAAAGUCACCAAAGAACACUUGGAGUGGCGAGCAGGAAGCCGCGCUGCCUGCCAGAGCCUCCUGCAGCUGCUGCCCGCCCGGCUGUCCUCUCCCCGCGUCCCCUCCACGCGGGGGCCAAAGUAUACCCUCUUUGGGGGAAGGAGAAAACUUCACAGGGACCGGUGCUGUGGGUUUCCAGUUCCCACCCAAGGAAAGCAGGCGACGCGGAGAAGGCCGGCAGCCCGCCUGCCAGGCCCACAGGGAGGCCACGGCGGGCCGGGGGGCGGCGGAGAGGGGCCCCCACGCGGGUGGGAACAGAAACUAGCUGAAGGCAGGGCCGAGCGGUCGCUCUCUCUGUACUAAAUAAAAAUGUCUCGGUGGAAUUGGAUUCUUCAUUGACUGUCAUUUUAAAAGACUGGUGCACGA